AUAAAAUGUUUUUAAUUAUUUGGUCUGCCUCACUGGUCUAACAGUGCUCGUCAUUGUCAAAAUGAUUAAGAUGGCCAAUGAAAUCCAA